UUGGUUCCAGAAUUUUAGUAUUCCUCUGUUCAGCAUUUACAGAGUAUGUUGUACAAUGUAAUAAAAUAUAUAUUUAUUUCUUAAUGCAUACUCAAAAUUAUAUUCAGCACUAGGGGAUUGUGCGACUGCCUGAGACGAUUCCCCACAGCUAUGUGGACAGCUUGUGAAAUAGCGGAUUGUGUGACUGCCUGAGGCGAUUCCCCACAGCGCCGGCUAUGUGGACAGCUUGUGAAAAUGGAAUCUAAAUGAUCACAAGAAAUGACAAAAGCAGUAUGAAGAUUAACACAAAGAUAUUGUGCCAGAAAAGUUUGAAGUGCUAUGGGAAUGAUCAACAUUGAACUUGCUGAGCCUUCCUUCUGAAAGUGACUUAACCAGAUAUUUGGCUACCCAGUAUGAGUAUCUUUCUGCUAAAUUGAAUAAAAUGUCGUGGAGGAACACGAAGAAAAGGGAUGCGCAUCUCAACAUAUUCAAGGUCAAGCAGCUUUUUACCUCAUUCAUUGUAUCUUGCUGCUAAAUGAAAGAAUUAUUGUGAAGGAACAGAGAAAAGUGCACUUCAACAUGUUCAAUGUCAAGCAGAAAUUAGGAGCUAGAUGUGCUUCUCCAGAGCUGAAAACCUCUGGGCAAGAAGAGAGGAAAAAGCAGGAAGAAGCAGAUUUAAAUAUUGAUUGCGUCUUCAUAGUACAAAAAAUGAUUCCA